rnacentral:snoRNA from 8 species
AUACAAUGAUGACAGCAUAGUUCAGCAGAUUAAACAUGAAGAACUCUUAGCAUUGUCUUUCGCUCCUAUCUGAUGUAUCC